UUGGACAGAAAGUGUAUGAACCAUUAAGUCCUGAAAGGCAGGCAUUGAGCAAAGGGAUCUUUUCUAUCUCUACCCCCCACCCCUCCCCUGCCAAGCCUCCCCAUUUCCUGGUCUUUAAAGGGAGGGGGCCCCUAAGCUCUGCUUUGAGGUCUCUGACAGUCCAGGUGGCCAUCUGUCCCCAACUCCUACAGCCAGUACAACUGGGUCUGAAGGGCUAUAACACAGUAGGUGCUGAAUAUGUGCUGUGUUGACACAUGGACCAUGUCACCCCAAUAAUGCAGGGGAAGGGCUUGGAGGAGCUGUGCCACAUUGUGCUUCGGGAACACACAGGCUUCAUCUCAAAAGACUAGAAUUUGAUCCAGGCUUUUCCACUCACUGGUACUGUGAUUUGUGCAAAUCCUUAAGUCCUCCAUCCUAGAAUUAUUUAAUCUGCAAAAUGAGGGUAGGAGUGCAUAUGUCUUGGGAUUUGGAGGAUCAGAUGAUAUAAUGCUUGUGAUGUGCUUAAUAUGGUCCUUAGAAAAUGUAGGAACCUACUGAAAAUUACUGCAUGACUUAGACCGAGUGUUGCUGCUAUGUAAUCAAAUAAAAUGCUAUUUUUUUGUCAUUUAAAUAGUUCGUUCUAGAUGAAAUCUGCCUGGAGCCAGUUCUGAGUGAUCACCUCACCUCAUCUUUUUUCCACCAAAUUCGAGGGCAUUAGUGUUGCUCAACUCUGGCUUCAGAAUUGACGCUGAGGUGGUUGGUCCUGAGGCAGAUAAAGGCUCUUGCACAUUCUUCUUCUUUCUGAUUCUUCCUUUCCUCUCAAACAUCUUCCUGGAGUCCUGGGAUGAGGCCCUAAUAAGCAUAAGGGGAAAAUAAAAGCUAGUUGUAAAUGUCCCAUCUGGCCAAUACUUUCCAUUUCUUGCUUGAGUAGGACCCCCCCCCCAACAAAUCUUGAAUCAUCAUUUCUCUUCUUUCAAUGACUCACAAAAUGGUUUUAAUUAUAUGGUAUUUUUCUAAGUAAACACCCCCCACCCCACGAAAGAGAAAACAAUUUCUAAUUUUUGUUGAAUUAAGUCAGGAACCACUCAGAACCUUGAUUGCUGACAACAACAUUAGUGACCCAAGGCUUUUUACUUGGUGAUACUGUUCUCGUUCUUGUGCAAGUUCAAGCAACAAGGAAGUAGCAACAAGGAAGUAGGAACCAGCCCAGAGAGACAGCAAGAAAAAUAUAAAACAGAACUUCAGGACAGGGCUCUAGAUCCCAGGGAAAAUCUAGGAGUUAUUUUGGUAACAGUUUUGCCAGGGGAAAAAUAUGCAAAGAUCUUCGUUUCCACCAUAAACAAACACAGUAUUAUCCUGACCACAGGAUGACCAUGAGGCAUCCUUCCAGGACGCUGUCCCAAAUAUAUGAAUAGUAACAGCUGAUUACUGAGCAAUCCUGCUUCCUCCUUUAUUUAAACUCUUUAUGUUCCACACAUUCAUUAAUAUUUCCCUGCAUGUCUCAUUAUUAUCUCAUCAAACAUUUAUUAUUACUUCAAGAUAGAUAAUUAAAAUUUUAUACUGUUAUUUCUCUGUAUGACAAUCCAAGAGAUUUCAAAUCCCCCCCUUCCCCUCAACCCCAGCACUCCUCUGCACCCUAACAAUCGGGUCACAAAACUCAUGAACUUUCAAUUCAUUGCACAGAAAGCAUAGGGACAAAAAUCUAAAAUUCAUUUUGAAUGGGAGUUUAGUUUCCUGCAUAAUGAUUCAGUUAUUGUAAUUGUUAAAGAAUCAGACAGAGGUCUCGAAGGACAAUACUUGCUCUUCAUCAAAUAAAUAACCGGACUCCAUUGAUAACAUUACGAGAUAGACAAACAAUGCAGAGAGCGAUUUUUAAGGCCAGAAGUGGAUUUGUUAGAAUUGAGUACUCCCAGACAGCAAACGCAAUAAACUCAAAAAGAUUAGCAAAGAAUUACUCUCUUUCCAGGAUGCGUAUUACAGUUAGGAUUAAAAAUUCUGAUGUGGAUUGUAUAUCACACAUAUUGCCCAGAGCACAGAAGUAUCAAAUUCAUCGCAACCAGGGUAAGAUAUUUUUUCCGCUGGAAUUUAAGAAUGUAGGUUGGUUCUCCGCUACUUACAGCUUAGAAGAGAAUUUCCGGGUGGGAGGCCGUCCAUGAAGCCUUAAGAAACCCGUGACCUUUUGUUUUUCGUGUGCCAUUUCCCUGCCUAGUCUUGAGCCUGAGCAGAAACAUUAACUGAGAUCAAACCUCACCCUGAGGGGCUUGACAUGAAAUUUCUUAAAUGGCUUGAACUUGAAUCUAUAAAUCUUAUCAUUUCACCAAAAAAUAAUGAAUGCCAAGCUCCAGAAAAUUUGAACAGGUUCACAUCUCUUCUUUAAAUAUGCAAACCAGGAAGAUGUCAAUUUAGUCUGCCUAAUUAAUUAAAUAGGUUAAUGCCACUUAAUUUGGGAAAAAUACUACUGCUAUAUUUCAAUUGCUAUAGCCUCAAUCCAAAGAGGGGAGAGGCUGUGGAUUGAGACGCACCUCUUCUAAACUUUCUAAAAAUGUGGUUUGAAAAGCAUCCCUUGGCAAAAGAUCAUUCUCCAUCUUUGGGUCUUUUCACCCAUAGUGAGUUCGGGUUUCAGCAUCAUUCACUAAGAGAACGUUUGUUUGCUGGGCACUUCUUGGGUGGGGCAGUGGCUGGGACUAUGGGGCAGGCACAGCCCAUGGUUCUGAGCUGUGGAAGAAGCCAGAGGGCUAGUCCUUUUAAAAAGGCACUGGGCUGUUGAGCCAUUGUGUGUGAUCCAGGGGUCUGGGUCUGCCCUGAGAGGAUGCCCAGAGCCACUUCUGGCCUCGAUGCCCACUUACUGACAUUGUCCCCUCCUUUUCCCAGGCUGCCACAUGUUCUCUAGCAGUGGCCACUACACAGCUCAACUACAGGAACUUAUUAACAUAUCAAAGAGGCCUGGAAUGUAGAUAAAGACGUGGUCCUUGUCCUUAAGGAGCUUUCAUUUGUCAAUUUUUGCUGUGCUCCUACUGUAUGCAGGCAAAAGAAAAAACAGUCAGUGUACCAAACAGGCAAAAUGGAUUUUGGUCUCAAAGCGUUUGGUUGAGAGCAUGAUCCUAGGAGGUCUGAGGGGUUUGGAGGGCCCAGGGGUGGCUUCAGAGUCAGGGGAAGUGCUUGAUUGUGGAGCAAGGAUGGGGUGGUGGGUAGGCUUUGAUGAACACAGAGGAUGGUCUCUGUUAGGGUACCUAGAGCCAAGUCACACUUCUAUCACAUCCUCACUGGUUAUCGGCAUGAUAAGCAAGCCACAAGGCUGACUGGCCGAGUCCCCAGAGAUCUCACCAAUCUAGAGUCUAACUGCUUGGAGAGGGGACAGGAUGCGAUUCGUCUUUGUGCCUCCCUCUCUGACAGUUGAGGAGGCAGGCACUGAAAAGCUAGACAUGUCACUGAAUUAAAAUCUACAUUGCCCUUCUAGAUAUUCUUUGCAAAAGGCCGCUGAACCCCCUCACCUCUUUUUUCCCCCUUGGCUAUUUUUAGGUCCUCCUUUUGAUUCUCCAGGCUUUAGAGUUUUUCCUUGAAGAUGCUGGCUUGCCACAUACCUCCUUAGAUCUCAGUGCCCAUUGUUGGGUGGCGGGGGUUCUCUUUUGAUUGGAAAGAGAAGUACUAAUACUUGCUGGUGCCUGGGGAUGUCAUUCUCACCAUGAACUUAUAUUGUUACAUUGUCACCCUUUUGGAGAGAAGUAAAGUGGGUCCCAGAGUGGUUUUUCAAGCUGCCAAAGUCAUACAGCUCAAGGCCGACUGACCCGGCUCCUCACUCAGAGUUUUAGAGGGGCACCAAGAACACUCUGCUUCCAUGUUGGUCUGAUCCCCAUAGCCUGGAGUCUCUCCUACGGCAAGGACCACAUCCGAUUCGUCCUCUGCACACACCUGGGACAAAGCGACCUUCAGUAAGGACACACUGAAUCAAAGGAUGGCUCUUCUGUUGAGAUUGGGACUGGGAGAGCAGAUUCUAGAGGACCAUCUAUUACAAAAACAAACCAGCAAAUAGCGGGAUAAUCCAACACCAGAGAUGUGCAGUUUUCAUUUUGCAUUUUUCUUUAAUUCUCUUCUUGCUGUGGUGGCACUGACCAGUCAGUGAGAAAUGUGCGACUUUGCACUCCCAGACACAGUCUAACAUUGAGCAAAUCUGAGCUUACCCUCACCCCUAGCCCCGUUAAAUUGGUUUGAUCAGCCUGGUGGCCUGGAAUGUCUGAAGUCUUGCAAAAGACACAGGCGCACUUGUUGAUGGGUCUCGCGUACACUCCCAAAUUUGACAUGGCUCAACAGUUGCAGGGCUUUCUCUGUCUGCCUCUAGCCCUGCCUCUGCCUGGCUGCCCAGCCCCCUGCCAUCCUUGCCCCCAUACCAGGAGAGUAAACAUAUCUUUAAAUUUAAUUUAGAACAAAAUCCUGAUUUUAAUAACGGAGGGAGAGUUCACAUCUUAGAAAAGUCAAAAGGACUAGAUACAUGCAAGGUGGGGGGUGAGGGAAAGUUUGGCUUAAGGAAGAGUAGGGCUGGUCUGGGCUCAAAAUACCAAAGGUGUGGCCUUGGACAAGUCACUUAACCAUUCUUGAAUUUCUAUGUCCCUUUCUGGAAAUGAAGGUUACUGGUGGUUGCCAUGAGGACAAAAUAAAAAUGACCCAUGAGGAGUUCACAUGGUGGCGCAACAGGAUCGGCCAUGUUUUGGGAGCCCUGGGAUGUAGCGUUCGAUUCCCAACCUAGCACAGUGGGUUAAGGAUCUGGUGUUGCCCUCACGGCAUUGACUUAGGUUGCAACUAUGGAUCAGAUCUGAUCCCUAGCCCAAGAAUUCCACAUGCCAUGGGGCG
rnacentral:lncRNA from 1 species